UGAAAGUUUUAGAUAAUAUUUUAGUUGAGUUAAGUUAAUUCUUUUUUUUCUAAUCAAAAUUCUUUUCGUAAAGGUAAUUUUUUAGACCGUUACUCCGAAUCACAAGCAUAUAUAUAAAUAUUUAACACACGUUAAAUACUUAUUAUAAUGAUAUUUUUUAGUGUGCGAGUAUCUUUGCCAACAUAUAACAAUCUUAAUGAUUUAAUUAGUAUAUUUUUAAUAUACAGGAUGGUCUAUAUUGGUAUUUUAUGAACAUAUGGUUUCUUCAAAAAGUCUGAAGUAAAAUAUAUAAUAUUGAAUUGGCGAAGUAUUAGAGAAUUGGUAUUCAUCCGUUUUCAGUUUCUCAUCUCGCCCUUUAUAUCCGGUCAUAACUUAUCUCUCUGUUCAAUAGCUAGACUAUAAUAAUAUAUUAUUAAGUUUUUGUGGUUCCCGUUCAUAUUGGUCAUAUCAUUGGCAAAGCUAGGGACCGCUAAAGUUUCUUUUUUCGUACUACUCGUCCUACUAUUACUUGGUUCCAUAAUACGAUUUGCCGUAAAAUUAUCAAGUUGAAUAUUUCCGUUCACGUUCAGGGUAUAACCGCAUACCAUCGCGUUUCUUUUAUUUAUUCCCUAAUGAAGAAUCCUUACUGAUUUAAACCCUCGCCAAAUGUGUUCUCUCCAAUAGAUACGCUUUUCUAUUGUUCUUAUCCUCUUCCGAAAAAAAUGAAAAAUUCUUUCCAUGCUUAUUCUUUAUCGCUAUAUAUAAUAUACAAUAUAAAUAAAUAAAUAUAAAUAUAAAUUUAUUUAUUUUUCUUAAAGGCUUUUUAGUUUGAAUCGUACCUACUGUUUUUUUAUUGUUUUAUAUUCUUAUUUCUUAUUGUAUUGUUGUUUACGAUUAUCAUAUUCAUUUGUAUGUAGUAAUUUAAAUGUUAAUAGUAAUUCAUAGUUUUAGAGUUAUUUGGUAUUAAUUUCCAAAUAUAAAAUAUGUGAACAGCGUAUGAUAAAACAUAUUUUUGUUUUUAUUGUAGUUAUUCAAAAAUUAUUAAUAGUAAUAAAAUUUGAAUUAUUUAAUCAAUUAAAAUUGUAUGUAUUGUAUUAUUAAAAAUCUAAUAUAAAAUUAAUAUAUUUUCUUAAGA